UACGUAGGCCGCAAGCGUUGUUCGGAGUUACUGGGCGUAAAGGGUGCGUAGGCGGCUUUUUAAGUUUGGUGUGAAAUCUCCCGGCUCAACUGGGAGGGUGCGCCGAAUACUGAGAGGCUAGAGUGCGGGAGAGGAAAGUGGAAUUCCUGGUGUAGCGGUGAAAUGCGUAGAUAUCAGGAGGAACACCGGUGGUGUAAACGGCUCUCUGGACCGUAACUUACGCUGAUGCACGAAAGCGUGGGUAGCAAACAGG
rnacentral:rRNA from 1 species